GAUGAACGCUGGCGGCGUGCCUAAUACAUGCAAGUCGAGCGAACAGACGAGGAGCUUGCUCCUCUGACGUUAGCGGCGGACGGGUGAGUAACACGUGGAUAACCUACCUAUAAGACUGGGAUAACUUCGGGAAACCGGAGCUAAUACCGGAUAAUAUAUUGAACCGCACGGUUCAAUAGUGAAAGACGGUUUUGCUGUCACUUAUAGAUGGAUCCGCGCCGCAUUAGCUAGUUGGUAAGGUAACGGCUUACCAAGGCAACGAUGCGUAGCCGACCUGAGAGGGUGAUCGGCCACACUGGAACUGAGACACGGUCCAGACCCCUACGGGAGGCAGCAGUAGGGAAUCUUCCGCAAUGGGCGAAAGCCUGACGGAGCAACGCCGCGUGAGUGAUGAAGGUCUUCGGAUCGUAAAACUCUGUUAUUAGGGAAGAACAAAUGUGUAAGUAACUAUGCACGUCUUGACGGUACCUAAUCAGAAAGCCACGGCUAACUACGUG
rnacentral:rRNA from 1 species